rnacentral:rRNA from 1 species
AGCGAACGCUGGCGGCAGGCCUAACACAUGCAAGUCGAACGAACCUUUCGGGGUUAGUGGCGGACGGGUGAGUAACACGUGGGAACGUGCCUUUAGGUUCGGAAUAACUCAGGGAAACUUGUGCUAAUACCGAAUGUGCCCUUCGGGGAAAGAUUUAUCGCCUUUAGAGCGGCCCGCGUCUGAGUAGCUAGUUGGUUGAGGUAAUGGCUCACCAAGGCGACGAUCAGUAGCUGGUCUGAGAGGAUGAUCAGCCACAUUGGGACUGAGACACGGCCCAAACUCCUACGGGAGGCAGCAGUGGGGAAUCUUGCGCAAUGGGCGAAAGCCUGACGCAGCCAUGCCGCGUGAAUGAUGAAGGUCUUAGGAUUGUAAAAUUCUUUCACCGGGGACGAUAAUGACGGUACCCGGAGAAGAAGCCCCGGCUAACUUCGUGCCAGCAGCCGCCGUAA